CCUAAGAAGUGGAAGAAAGAAGAAAAUCACCGAAAAAUAUAUCAUUUUUCACUCUUUGCAUUUGAAGUUUUUAACCUUACUUCUUCAGUAAGGAAAUUCACACGCCAAUAAGUGUUUUCGUUUAUUCUAAUUUCUGUUUUGCGUUUGAUUUGCAAUGUUAAAAGAAAAUGAUGCCAGAUCAGUACGGCAAGAAAGUUGGAUAAGAUCGGAACUCUAAUAAGAAUAGCCGUCACGACAAAGAUAGCGAGACUAACGUCCAAGCUUUGCUUCACCACAGGUCAUUAAGCGAUGAUGAACAGAAAUUGAAUGUUUCUAAAGUGGUGACAAGUAAUGAAACCAAACGGGAAGUAGAUAGAGUAUUCACCUUUGACGAGGUUUUUGAAGGACAAUGUUAUCAUCGUCCUCCUCUCCUAAAUGGAACCAACUACCUCUAUUAGAAGAAUAGAAUGGCAAUUUGGAUCAAGUCGCAAGAUUUAAGAAUUUGGGAUGUCAUCAAAAAUGGAAACCAUGUUCCGAUGAAGACAACAUCAAAGGAAGUGGGAGAAGUUGAAACGUCAACCGAAGAACUUAAACCAAAAAGUGAAUGGACCGAUGACGACUAUAAAAAGGUCUCAUUCAAUUUCAAGGCAAUCAACUAUCUUCAUUGUGCCAUCACACAAAAUGACUACAUGAUGAUUUGUACGUGUGAAACGGCAAAGGAGAUAUGGGAUAAGUUGAGUAUAACACAUGAAGAAAUAGGUCAUGUAAAACAAUCAAAGAUUUCCCACAUUGUUCAUGAAUAUGAACUCUUCCAAAUGAAGGAAGAUGAAAAGAUCGAAGACUUGUUUGGGAGAUUUUCAAACAUUAUUGCGAGCCUCAACUUGCUAGGAAGAAAGAUACCAGAAAGAGAAGUUGUGAGAAAAAUUCUGAGGAGCCUAACGCCGCAAUGGAACUCCAAGGUGAUUGCCAUAAAAGAAGGGAUAAAUUAUGAUGGUCUCACCUAUGACCAAUUGAGAGGUAAUCUAAUUACACAUGAGAUUACUUUCCUUAAGAAGUCAUAAGGAGAAGAUAAAAGGAAAAAGAGUUUGGCGCUAAAAGCAUCAUCAAUCAAAGAAGACGAUGACGACGAAGAACAAGAAUUUGCUUUAUUGUUAAAGAUAUUUAACAAACUAGCUCAAAGAAAAAAAAACUGAAUUUCAAAGGAUGAGUCAAGGCAAAGGACUAAAAUGUUGUUAUGAGUGUGGUAAACUUUGACAUAUCAAGUCUAAUUGUUCAAGUUCUAAGCUUUCGAAAGGAGAAAAAUAAAAAGAAAUUCAAGAAGCAGUGCACCUACAUUUAGUGGGAAAAUGAAGAUGCAUCCUUGUCCACAGAAUAACAAGUUGACCCCCUUCGUCUAAUGGCCAUU